GCCUGCAUAGCUCAGUUGGUUAGAGCGCGAGUCUCAUAAGCUCGAGGUCCUGAGUUCAAUCCUCAGUGCAGGCA
rnacentral:tRNA from 1 species